UUACAUCACUUGUUUGUCUUUUGAUAAAACAUGUGUGGACCUCUUGAAAACAAUUACCGUAACGAUACCUCUAAAGUACUGUAAAGACAAAUGUUUCCUGUCGUUUUAUUCAAACACUUGUUUCACUUGGGUCAACUCGUAAUCACGCAUGAUUAUUUUAAAAAAUCCAUGGAGAUUGAAGGCUUGAUUGGGGUCCAUUGAAUGGAUUCCAUCCUGUAAGAUAAUUUAUCCCUGUGUUGUUUUACUCAUUAGUGUACAUUUAUUCUGAUAACUCAUCUAAUUCUUACUCUAAAAUUUUUGGAACAAGCUCAGACAGACAUAAACAAACGGGAUAUUUAAUGUCAAUUAGAUGUAAAUUUGAUUCAACCACUUCUGUAAAAUUGUAAACAGCAACUGUACACAACAACUUACAUGGAAGAUGUUUUAAGAGCUGAUAAGGAAAAGUUUAAGGCAAAUUGAAGAAAAGUUAUUGAAGCAGAGCUUAAGAUAAUUUUAUAGCAAUUUGACUAUGGAAUAUUCCUUGGGUCCAGUUAGCUUUCUAAUUGGGACCUUUCUCCCAAAGCAAAAGCCAAAGAGCAGAAAUUUUUUGAAACCGAAUCACUUCAAGAAAAUUGAAAGCAAAGGAAAAGAUUGAUACAAAUUGGAAGACGAGACUGUUAUGAUGCUUCAGAUAAAAAUGAUGAGAGCUCUAAAGAAAUUGACCAGGAACAGUUAUUCUUCAACAUUCUUGUAAAGAGUAUCAUUCGUGGUCUCUCGAAGCUUGACCAUUUUUUAUAUAAGACUCCAUUACUCAUUGCAAAGCUAAGAUCAGGAAAGAUGCCCCAAAAUUUGACCUUUAUAGAUUAAUAUGAAGAUGAAAUGGCCCGGCCUGGGGAGGAAAGCAAGAAAUGAAGGGAAACGCAAGAAACAAAGAUAUUAACGUUUAUUACUACAAGCUAUCUAAAGGAUUUGAGGCUCAACUUGGCAUUGUCUAACUGUCAAUAAAAAAGGCAGAGAUAAAUCUUGGAGAAGCAAGGUGAAAAUUACAAUCUACCAAGGAACCAGAACUUGUCAUGAUACUCCAAAGAAAGAAAGAAUUGAAAAGAAUAAUAUUUAGCGAACAAUUUUCAAUUACGUCUGACUUGAGAUUGAAUGUGGUCUGCCCUUUUCAAUUCUAGCAUGACCUUAUACCCUGAACAGUUAAUUAAAGUUGAAAUAAUGUAAAUAAUAUCUGAUAUGUAAAUAAGUUAAAUUUUAACUUUAACCGUAAAAUGGGAAUAGGUAUAGCAAAAGGAAAGAUAGAGAAGGAAGAUAAAUCAUUUCAAAUGAAUGUUACUGGAAAAUCGAUAAAGUUGAUGGUUUAACCUGUUAAAGUCAAGAGAGAUUCUUCAGAAUCUUCAAGAAGAAGCAAAGGAAGGCAGAAAAGGACGAGAACGAAGACGAACAGGAUGAAAUAAUGGGAGAAACAUAACAUGAAGAAGAUGAAGAAUGAAGAGAAAUAUUUUCACAAUUUUUUAAGUUAAUAAUAAUCUGUAAAUAAGGGUUAACCACUAAUUGACUUGUAAAUUAAGGAUCUCAUAAGGUUAAUAGACGGUUAUGAAAAGUCAAAUUGUGAAUUUUGCUAUUGAAAGGGGUUGAAAAUUAAUUUAUGCUCAUUUUAAUUAGACUUAUCUAUUUUUAAUUCCUCAUGGCAAUAUUAGAUUAUUUUGGAGUAAAUUUUUGGUUCACCCAAAAACACAUUGACAAGAUUACUUGCCAUUAUUAUUGUUAUAAUAUUGUUAUCCAAUCUAUUUUUACCAACAAAAUACAAUACAAUAAUAAUACAAUAAAAAUCUUUCUAUUAAUAUAAAUUUACAUAUAAUGAUAUACAAAAGUCAAGAGCUUUAAUGUAUAAUACUUGAUAAUCUUGAUGGUUGAAAUCCUCAAACAAUAGCCUUAUCAAGUCCUUUAAUCAGGUUCAUUAAUGAAAACAAUCAAUUCAAUCUAGUCUAUUUAUUAACCUUUUAUACUGUAAAAGUUUAAACAACAAUGCAAUUUACACGAAAAUAAAGUCUAUUUUUUAGUAAA